rnacentral:rRNA from 1 species
CGGGUUAUUCUCAUCAAAUCCUUGCUUGCUAGUCUCCUUUGGUUUCUCAUGAGUUUCUAUAGACUUCAUGAGACGCUCCAUCAGGAGAUCGCCAAAUACCAAUCCAUGUUUUUCUGGGCGGGCGAGGGCGACAAGCAGAAAUACCACAUGGUUAGCUGGCCUGACAUCUGCAAGCCCAAGGACCAGGGUGGUCUGGGCAUUUUGUCAUCUCGGCACACGAACAUUGCUCUCCUGACCCGGUGGCUCUGGCGUAUCGCCAAUGGGGAGGGAGGCCUAUGGCUCACCAUCAUCCAUAACAAGUACCUCUGUGGCCAGCCGCUUGCGUUCUGUCAACGCUCGGGCAGAUCCCAGUUCAGGCAAGCGGUGAUUCAGCUCCUGCCCGUGCUUCACAUCGGCACGUCCAUCUCAGUUGGCUCUGGAUCCUCGACCCUGUUUUGGUUUGACCGCUGGCUGGGAGACUCCCCCCUGGCUGCUCGGUUU